rnacentral:rRNA from 1 species
UGAGAGGAUGAUCCGCCACACUGGGACUGAGACACGGCCCAGACUCCUACGGGAGGCAGCAGUGGGGAAUUUUGGACAAUGGGCGGAAGCCUGAUCCAGCCAUGCCGCGUGAGUGAAGAAGGCCUUCGGGUUGUAAAGCUCUUUCGGCCGGGAAGAAAAUCGCAUGGGUCAAUACCCUGUGUGGAUGACGGUACCGGAAUAAGAAGCACCGGCUAACUACGUGCCAGCAGCCGCGGUAAUACGUAGGGUGCGAGCGUUAAUCGGAAUUACUGGGCGUAAAGCGUGCGCAGGCGGUUUGGUAAGUCAGAUGUGAAAUCCCCGGGCUCAACCUGGGAACUGCAUUUGAGACUGCCAAGCUGGAGUUUGGCAGAGGGGGGUGGAAUUCCACGUGUAGCAGUGAAAUGCGUAGAGAUGUGGAGGAACACCGAUGGCGAAGGCAGCCCCCCUGGGGCCAAUACUGACGCUCAUGCACGAAAGCGUGGGGAGC